UGGGGAAUCUUGCGCAAUGGUCUAACGACUGACGCAGCGACGCCGCGUGUGGGAGGACGCCUUUCGGGGUGUAAACCACUGUUGCCCGGGACGAACAGCCCUUUUCGAGGGGUCUGACGGUACCGGGUGAGGAAGCACCGGCUAACUCCGUGCCAGCAGCCGCGGUAAUACGGAGGGUGCGAGCGUUGUCCGGAAUCAUUGGGCGUAAAGGGCGCGUAGGUGGCCCGGUCAGCGUGCGGUGAAAGCUCGGGGCUCAACCCCGAGUCGGCCGUGCGAACUACUGGGCUGGAGCACUGUAGAGGCAGGCGGAAUUCCGGGUGUAGCGGUGGAAUGCGUAGAGAUCCGGAAGAACACCGGUGGCGAAGGCGGCCUGCUGGGCAGUUGCUGACACUGAGGCGCGACAGCGUGGGGAGCAAACAGGAUUAGAUACCCUGGUAGUCCACGCCGUAAACGAUGGGCACUAGGCGCUUGGGGGAGCGACCCCCCGAGGGCCGGCGCUAACGCAUUAAGUGCCCCGCCUGGGGAGUACGGCCGCAAGGCUGA
rnacentral:rRNA from 1 species